UUCCACAUGCAUUACAGCACAAAUAAAUCCUGCUUUAUUCAGUUAUUAUAGCUCUUGUACCUUCUCUCUAAAUUUACACAGCCUAUGAAACUGUUGCUGUUUUGGGAGAUUUCUUCUAGCAUAAGUUAUUGUUGGUAACUUUAUUCUUUUAAUUUUGCCAAAUUCAGUUAUUUGAAUACAGACAAUCAUUUAAACCAAGACUAAAGAGACUAAUAACCUUUCAGCUUGUUUUAAGAGUGUUAUGGAACUUGAAUUAAGAAUCAAAUAGAGAAAGCAAAUAUGAUGCAGUAACUUUGGAACAUCUAUGUAUUCAGGAGGACUUUCAAGCACAGAUGCAGGCAAAUGCCUCAAACUCCUAUUGUGGUAUUUACUUGAGUGUGCACUUGUGCUUAUCUAAAAACACUUGCUAUCGAUGAUGAAAGAACAGAAUUUAUUUGGAGUAAGAUGUGACAGUAUGGACUGAAUCUCUGGAAAAGCUGCAGCACCAGAUUUGGUCUGAGAAUGUGCUGCAUUCCCAUCCACCAGGCUACAAUGACUGGAACUCCACCACAUAACUUCUCUUUUUUAAGGAGGGAAACAAGAAAGCACCUUAUGUCCAGCCUGAGAAGGCACUUGUUAAGACUGCUAUUGCUAGGAGAGGUAGUUUGUUAGGGAGCCAUCCUUACAAGAAAGACUCAAGAGCAUCUUCACUGUAACCACGGAGACUUGAUCACAGGCUUCACUCUUCAUCCAAGAAUGGAAUCAGCCUGGCCCAGUAAAGUCAAAAGUGAGGCUGUGAUCUGGUCAGUGUAUAUUUAAAAGAAUUGUGAGAGAAAACAAAGGACAUUGACUAAGGAGG